rnacentral:sRNA from 1 species
UAUCCCCAGAACAGGUGCAGCACAGGCAGUGGCAACGUGAGCUUCUUCACAACAACCCACCAGUGUGCUUCAGCCCUGACCUGCAUGAAUGUAUAUAGCAGAUG